CUCAAUGGUGGCUGUACGCAGGGCACUUUCGGGUGCGCCGGUUUCGUUGAUCCGCCGGUCUACUAACCUGCAUACAGCCGCCACCCA
rnacentral:antisense_RNA from 10 species